AGUUUUCUGAAUCCGUGUAGAGAUUUCAUCAGACACCAACUCUUCAGAGCUGAGCAGACUUUCAAGAGAAGUGAAGUU
rfam:Schistosoma haematobium scaffold2959_12, whole genome shotgun sequence.